rnacentral:misc_RNA from 1 species
GAUGAAGAACGUAGCGAAAUGCGAUAAGUAAUGUGAAUUGCAGAAUUCAGUGAAUCAUCGAAUCUUUGAACGCACAUUGCGCCCCUUGGUAUUCCGAGGGGCAUGCCUGUUCGAGCGUCAUUAUAACCCCUCAAGCUCAGCUUGGUGUUGGGGCCUGCCGCACGGGCAGCCCUUAAAAUCAGUGGCGGUGCCAUCUGGCUCUAAGCGUAGUAAUUCUUCUCGCUAUAGAGUUCCGGUGGAUGCUUGCCAUUAACCCCCAAUUUUCUAUGGUUGACCUCGGAUCAGGUAGGGGUACCCGCUGAACUUAAGCAUAUCAAUAAGCGGAGGA